rnacentral:rRNA from 1 species
UACGGGGGGGGCAAGCGUUGUUCGGAAUUACUGGGCGUAAAGAGCUCGUAGGCGGUCUGUCGCGUCGGAUGUGAAAAUCCAGGGCUCAACCCUGGACCUGCAUUCGAUACGGGCAGACUAGAGUUCGGCAGGGGAGACUGGAAUUCCUGGUGUAGCGGUGAAAUGCGCAGAUAUCAGGAGGAACACCGGUGGCGAAGGCGGGUCUCUGGGCCGAUACUGACGCUGAGGAGCGAAAGCAUGGGGAGCGAACAGG